GGGUGUAAACACCGGGGAAGCCCUCUUGUCCACACGGUGAGGGACCAAACGAAACUACACCAACCAAAAAGUAUGCUUCUCUUCCAUUAACAGAUUGAGCAAACAUUAGUGGUCCUCCAGAGUCACCGCGACACGUGUCAAUACUUUUCUCACCGCCCGCACACAUUUGACUGUUGCCUAACUCGAUUCUAGUACUAUAUCUCUUUUUUAAUCCGCUGGUGAAAUCUUGUGAAAAAAGGGCAUGCUACAUAAAGCCCAGAUCUUGAGCGCAAUCUUACAUUAAGACCAGAAAGUCUCCGGAAAUUUUUGGCCCACAAUUCCGGCUGUUUACGACGGAUGUUUUCGCGCAAACGCCUCAAAACGCUCAAAUAAUAAUCUUUAUUGAUGAUGAACCCAAUCGCGAAGAUCGAAAAUAAACAAUUUUCAGAAACUUUCUGUAGAAUCUGAGCAAUUUAUCCAAGCAUCAAAAAAAGGUAAAAAUACGAAUACUUUCUACAAAUGAUGAAAUUGUUCCUUUAGAUUAAAAAAAAUAGCAAAAAUAUAACCUGUUCUAAAAGGUACUGAUUUCGGUGCUGAAAGUUUGGAAUCAGAAUAAAAGUGACGACAUUUGCUGAACGGAAAGCUGAAAUUAAAAACCUUAUGAAUACAGGAUUCCAUUCUAAUGAAGUUAUCUUUAUUUAUACUUCAAAUAAAGUACUAUAUACAAAACUCAAUUUUAAAUAUCCAUGCAAA